rnacentral:rRNA from 1 species
GAUGAACGCUAGCUACAGGCUUAACACAUGCAAGUCGAGGGGAAACGGCAUUAAGUGCUUGCACUUUUUGGACGUCGACCGGCGCACGGGUGAGUAACGCGUAUCCAACCUUCCCAUGACUAAGGGAUAACCUGCCGAAAGGCAGACUAAUACCUUAUGGUCUUCACUGACGGCAUCAGAUGUGAAGUAAAGAUUUAUCGGUUAUGGAUGGGGAUGCGUCUGAUUAGCUUGUUGGCGGGGUAACGGCCCACCAAGGCAACGAUCAGUAGGGGUUCUGAGAGGAAGGGCCCCCACAUUGGAACUGAGACACGGUCCAAACUCCUACGGGAGGCAGCAGUGAGGAAUAUUGGUCAAUGGGCGAGAGCCUGAACCAGCCAAGUAGCGUGCAGGAUGACGGCCCUAUGGGUUGUAAACUGCUUUUGUAUGGGGAUAAAGUCAAUCACGUGUGAUUGUUUGCAGGUACCAUACGAAUAAGGACCGGCUAAUUCCGUG